rnacentral:misc_RNA from 1 species
AAAACGUCCUGCUCUACCAAUCCGAUGCAAGUAUACCUCAUGAUCUGGCUCUGUUGGACUCUCGUGUCUCACAGGGAGGUCAUAAUUAACCACCAAAUUAACCUGUGAUUGGUCAAAUCCACGAGCAAGAAGAUCAGUUGAUAUAAGAAUUUGUGUCAAUCCAUCUUUGAACUCCUUGAUUAUUUUGUCUCUGUCUUCUUGCCUAAGAGCACCUUGAAUUGUUGUCACUUCAUAGCCAUAGUCAACCAAUGACUUAUGCAACAUACUUGCACUGUUUCUGGUACGAACAAAUAUAAUUGUUUGCCCCACCUUCUGUCCUAGUUCUAGUAUUCUGUCUUUAAUCACCAUGAUUUUUGAAAGUUCGUCCGGACACUGCACUUUAUACUGCUUCACUGAAUCCAGUGAAAGUUCUUCUUUCUUCACAAACAUUUGAUUGUAAUCUUGCACAAAAAGAUCUUGAACAAUUUUUGUCACAAAUGCUUUGACAUUUUCCCCAAACGUUGCAGAAAACAGAAGCACCUGGCAGUUAGCGCUGGCUUUAACGAUUGCCUUCAUUAUUCUUAUGGAAUCAUCCUGAAAACCACUCUCUGCCAACAUGUGGUCCGCUUCAUCAAACACAAGAAUUUUCAUACAACUCAUGCCCAGUUUCCUUGCCGUCACCCACUUGUUUAUAGUCCCAGGUGUGCCAAUCACUACUUGUGCCGUGACAGGCGGCCGUUUCGAAAUUGGAAUAUAGUUGGCAGAAUCUGCUGGGAUACCUAACUCUGAUGUUAUGCCAGUGAACUUCCCCAUCUUCAAUAGCACUUCCAUAUUCUGCAAUCAACCAUUUAAAACUGAAUAGCCAAUUCUCUGGUUGGACAGAUACAGAGAGCUUGAGGGGCAGCAAGCUUUGGAUCAAUCCGACUCAACAUCCCAAGCACAAAGCAAGUAGUUUUACCAGAACCAUUAUGAGCCUGAGCAAUAAGAUUCUUGUAGGGAGGCGUAAGAAUCAUAGGCAAACUAAUUUCCUGAAUCUUGCUAGGACGCUCAAACUGCAUUUGUACAUAUAAUCCCUUCAAUAGCUCAGGAGAUAAGUUCAAAUCCUCAAAUCUCUUCGCUGAUUUGUACAUAGUAUCGCCAGAUGUAACCGCUUGUAUGCUUGAAUCUUCCGGCUCAGAGAGAGUGGAGUUUUCUCUUUUGGACUCAUCGACUUGUAAAGAUCCGAUAUUUAUCUCGGCAGUAGCGCCUUCUUCGUUCGAAGCGGAAGACUGCUCAGCUUGGUCUGCCGACUGCUCAGCUUGAUCGAUCUCGUCGACUUGGUCUGCCCAACUUUUGGAUUCCGGUGGGUUUGCCGUCGUAGAAGCGGCGGUGCUACUGGUGAUACCGGAGGUACUAGAAGUGUCGGCCAUCAGAAUUGUGACAGCUAAAGUAAAAUGUCAG